GGGCCCGCACAAGCAGUGGAUUAUGUGGUUUAAUUCGAAGCAACGCGAAGAACCUUACCAGGUCUUGACAUCCCGUGCAUAGUGUAGAGAUACAUGAAGUUUUUUCGGAACACGGAGACAGGUGGUGCAUGGUUGUCGUCAGCUCGUGUCGUGAGAUGUUGGGUUAAGUCCCGCAACGAGCGCAACCCUUAUUGUUAGUUGCUACGCAAGAGCACUCUAACGAGACUGCCGUUGACAAAACGGAGGAAGGUGGGGAUGACGUCAAAUCAUCAUGCCCCUUAUGACCUGGGCUACACACGUAAUACAAUGGCGGCCAACAGAGGGCAGCAACACCGCGAGGUGAAGCGAAUCCCCAAAAGCCGUCUCAGUUCGGAUUGCAGGCUGCAACUCGCCUGCAUGAAGUCGGAAUUGCUAGUAAUCGCGGAUCAGCACGCCG
rnacentral:rRNA from 1 species